UGACCAGAGGAGCGCAUGCGUGAAGCUUUCCGCUGAGCCGCUAUUGAGGGGCAUUGAGUCAGUGAGUGGAAGAGGUUUGUUUGAAACAGGCCGCAAUGGAGAGACCAGCGCCCAGGGAAGCGAGGGAACAGCAGGCUCCUUCCAGCAGCGCAUCGAGAUGUGAGUCUGGGACACAGAGUGGGCUCCGAGACCGGCAUUGAUUCGGGCUCAGUUCAGGGAGACCCGGGGACUGUUGGCAAUUAUCUGAUGUGUCAAGACAAUGUCACGUUUCCGUGGUGCAACACCAAGUGUGACUAGCUGCUCCUACUAACAGCAGGCAAAUACAUGAAGGACCAAGACAGUGUAUCAUUUCCUUGGUGCAAAGCCAAGUGUGAGCAGCUGCUUCUCACAAACAGCAGACAAACGCUUGAAGGAACAAGGCAAUGUAUCAUUUCUUCAGUACAAAGCCAAUUGUGACCAGCUCGUCCUAACAAACAGCAGGUAUGUUCCCACUGUCACAGCAGAGAACAUCCUUUCCACAGUCACGGAGCAGAUUGAGUCAGACACCGUUGAACUUUAAUUUCCAGUCAGACACGUUCAAACCGACAAUAAAACAACACGGAGGAAUGCCACUUUAUUUUGCUUCUCUCUCCAUUCAAAAUACCCAGUUCAAACAGAUUUCACCUAACAUAACCCAUUGACAUUUACACCAUUUUUGAAGAUGGGUAGACUGAAUCCUUAUCCAAAGUAUACCCUCAGGACUUGAAGAAAAUCUGCAUAGAAUUACUCUGAUAUCAACUCCACAUAAUGAAUCACGCUUCCACGGAUAAUAUUUUUGGCUGCCUGAAACCUAAUCCACUUUAAGGAGUAGAAAGUGACCAGUACGCAUGGAUACCUAACCUCACACAUUCGUAUUGUAGGGUCAGACGAAAAAAAUAGUAUUUGACCAUAUUGAUACUUCAGAAACUGCAAGUAAAAGGUUGAUUAAAAAUGUUCACAUCGUCACAUAAUAGAAACUAUCAUGCAUAUAUUCAUUGAUGUACUCGCUUUCACAGAGACUGAAACUGGCAGGAAUAUAUUGAUGAUAACACUCCCAAUUUCACAGAGCAUCAAGUGACAGCUACAAACUUAGAACUGCAAUCACAAAUCCACAGAGAGACAGGCACGGAUUGCUGACUGUACUCAAAUAUUCAGAGUAGGUUCUCACAGGUACAUCUUGGUAACUGGACGCUCAAAUUGACAGAGAAGCAAAUGAUAGGUGCAUGUUGCUUUCAUGCACAUAUCCAAAUGGACGAACUUGACAGGAACAGAUUGAUAACAACCUUGAACAUAGCGAGAACUGCAGAUGCUGGAAUCAGCCUUCCCAGUUACACACAGCAUAAACUGACUGACAUGUACAGUUUGAUAAUUACUCUCAUUCACAGAGCGGAAUCUGAAACGUCCUUAUUGAUAACUGUACUCACAUGGCCACCAAGCGGAAACUGACAGAGUUUGAUCACAGUGACAGUUAAAUUGCGGAAAUUGACAGAUACAUGUUGAUAAUUACUUUCACACUUGCCUUGCAGGUAAUGUCAGGGUCAGUUCAUUAAAUACGAUGCUGUUGA